GGGCUGGGAUCAGGCACCUAUUUCUAGCCCAUAACACCUAGCACCGCCACACCCCCAAGGGCACUCAGCAGUGAUAAACAUUGAUAAUAAGCGUCAGCUUGAAUCAGUUAAUGUACAAAAAGCCGGCCAACCCGGUGCCAGCCGCCGCGGCUACACCGUUGGGCUUAAGUUGAUAACUACGGCGUUAAGCGUGUUUUAAGAAUACUAUAAUUAGAGCUAAACCUGGCCCGAACUGUGACACGUACGCCUCCCAGAAAUACAAAACGAAAGUUACUCUAAUAAUCACUUGAACCCACGACAAUUAAGAAACAAACUGGGAUUAGAUACCCCACUAUGCUUAAUCGUAAAAUAUUUAUUUACACAUUCAACCGCCAGAGUACUACGAGUAACUAACUUAAAACUCAAAGGACUUGACGGCGUCUCACCUACCUAGAGGAGCCUGUUAUAUAACCGAUAUUACCCGAUACACCUAACCACUUUUUGCUAAUCAGUCUGUAUACCUCCGUCGCCAGCUUACCGUAUGAAUGUUAAUUAGUGAGCCAAAUGAUUACCUCAUCAACACGUCAGGUCAAGGUGCAACCCACAAAGUGGUAAGAAAUGGGCUACAGUUUCUAACUUAGAACAUACGAAUAGUCAUAUGAAAAAUGACAAUGAAGGUGGAUUUAGUAGUAAGGGGUAAAUAGAGUGUCCCCCUUAAUCCAGCAAUGAGACGUGUACACACCGCCCGUCACCCUCUUCAAUCAAAUAUACUUCAGUCUAUAACAUCCUAUAAUACUAAAGAAGAGGUAAGUCGUAACAUGGUAAGUAUACUGGAAAGUGUGCUUGGAACAACAAAAUAUAGCUUAACUAAAGCAUUUCGCUUACACCGAACUAAUAUCUGUUUAAACCAGAUUAUUUUGAGCCAUAAACCCCGCCCACAACAUUUAAUAUAUAUAUAUACAUAUAACACAAAACAUUUUAACAACCUAGUAAAGGUGAUUAAAAAAUUAAUAAGAGCCACAUAUAUAGUACCGCAAGGGAAAAGUGAAAUAGAAAUGAAAUAAACUAAAAAGCCAAUAAAAGCAGAGAUUAAUACUCGUACCUUUUGCAUCAUGGUCUAGCUAGUCUAAACAAGCAAAUCACAACAUUUAGCUUGUACCCCCGAAACUUGACGAGCUACUUAAAAACAGCUAUUAGAGCCAACUCAUCUCUGUUGCAAAAGAGUGAGAAGAUUUUUAAGUAGAGGUGACAUGCCUAUCGAGUCAAGAGAUAGCUGGUUGCUUAAGAAAAGAACCUUAGUUCUACCUCAAAACAUGUUAUAACACCAAUUAUAUUUGAGAGCUAUUCAAAUAUGGUACAGCCUAUUUGAUACUGGAUACAACCAAAAAUUAAGGGUAAUGUAAUAUUUCAUAUUAAUCAAGUCGGCCUAAAAGCAGCCACCUUUAAAAUAGCGUUAAAGCUUAACCAAACCUCCCUAAAAAUAUUAUCUUUUUCACAAAACCCUACCUCAAUAUUAAGCACUUCUAUAACUUAUAAAUGUUAUUAUGCUAGAACUAGUAACAAGAGAACUCUCUCCUAAAUGUAAGUAUAUAUCAAACAUGAUCCUUACUACUAUAAAUGUAAUACCCUCCUAGAAACCCUUACCAAAUCUACUAUUAAACUUACACAAGAACAUUACAGGAAAGAUUAAAACAAAAAGAAGGAACUCGGCAAACCUUAGUCUCGCCUGUUUACCAAAAACAUCACCUCUUGAUCAAUUAUAAGAGGCCCAGCCUGCCCAGUGAUCAUUUCAACGGCCGCGGUACCCUAACCGUGCAAAGGUAGCACAAUCACUUGUUCUUUAAAUAAGGACUAGUAUGAAUGGCACCACGAAGACUAUACUGUCUCCUUUCUGGAAUCAGUGAAACUGAUCUUCCCGUGAAGAAGCGGGAAUUAUUAUAUAAGACGAGAAGACCCCAUGAAGCUUCAAAUUAAAUAUUAACUGCCACCUCCCAACACCACCCCAACCCAGCAGAUCUAAUUAUUAAUUUUAGGUUGGGGUGACCACGGAGUAAAACAAAACCUCCACAAUGAAUAGGACUAAAUCCCUAAUUUAAGAACAACAACUCUAACAAUCAAUAUAUUGACAUAACUUGACCCAAAUUUUUGAUCAAUGAACCAAGUUACUCUGGGGAUAACAGCGCAAUCCAUUUCAAGAGCCCAUAUCGACAAAUGGGUUUACGACCUCGAUGUUGGAUCAGGGUACCCCAGUGGUGCAGCCGCUACUAAAGGUUG
rnacentral:misc_RNA from 1 species